rnacentral:rRNA from 1 species
UCUUCCGCAAUGGACGAAAGUCUGACGGAGCAACGCCGCGUGAGUGAUGAAGGUUUUCGGAUCGUAAAGCUCUGUUGUUAGGGAAGAACAAGUACCGUUCGAAUAGGGCGGUACCUUGACGGUACCUAACCAGAAAGCCACGGCUAACUACGUGCCAGCAGCCGCGGUAAUACGUAGGUGGCAAGCGUUGUCCGGAAUUAUUGGGCGUAAAGGGCUCGCAGGCGGUUUCUUAAGUCUGAUGUGAAAGCCCCCGGCUCAACCGGGGAGGGUCAUUGGAAACUGGGGAACUUGAGUGCAGAAGAGGAGAGUGGAAUUCCACGUGUAGCGGUGAAAUGCGUAGAGAUGUGGAGGAACACCAGUGGCGAAGGCGACUCUCUGGUCUGUAACUGACGCUGAGGAGCGAAAGCGUGGGGAGCGAACAGGAUUAGAUACCCUGGUAGUCCACGCCGGUAAACGAUGAGUGCUAAGUGUUAGGGGGUUUCCGCCCCUUAGUGCUGCAGCUAACGCAUUAAGCACUCCGCCUGGGGAGUACGGUCGCAAGACUGAAACUCAAAGGAAUUGACGGGGGCCCGCACAAGCGGUGGAGCAUGUGGUUUAAUUCGAAGCAACGCGAAGAACCUUACCAGGUCUUGACAUCCUCUGACAAUCCUAGAGAUAGGACGUCCCCUUCGGGGGCAGAGUGACAGGUGGUGCAUGGUUGUCGUCAGCUCGUGUCGUGAGAUGUUGGGUUAAGUCCCGCAACGAGCGCAACCCUUGAUCUUAGUUGCCAGCAUUCAGUUGGGCACUCUAAGGUGACUGCCGGUGACAAACCGGAGGAAGGUGGGGAUGACGUCAAAUCAUCAUGCCCCUUAUGACCUGGGCUACACACGUGCUACAAUGGACAGAACAAAGGGCAGCGAAACC